GCAUAACGCGAAGAACCUUACCUAGGCUUGACAUGCAUCUCUAAGCACGUGAAAGCGUGUGACCCUUCGGGGAAUUUGCACAGGUGCUGCAUGGCCGUCGUCAGCUCGUGUCGUGAGAUGUUGGGUUAAGUCCCGCAACGAGCGCAACCCUUGUGAACAGUUGCCAGCGGGUGAUGCCGGGAACUCUGUUCAGACUGCCCAGAUCAACUGGGAGGAAGGUGGGGACGACGUCAGGUCAGUAUGGCCCUUACGCCUUGGGCUGCACACGUACUACAAUGCCCAGCACAAUGAGAACCGAUGCCGCGAGGUGGAGGAAAUCUGAAAAACUGGGCCCAGUUCGGAUUGGAGGCUGCAACUCGCCUCCAUGAAGUUGGAAUCGCUAGUAAUGGCGCAUCAUCUACGGCGCCGUGAAUACGUUCCCGGGUCUUGUACACACCG
rnacentral:rRNA from 1 species